ACAGCUGGAUAGCUCAGCUGAUUAGAGCGUGGCGCUGAUAAUGCCAAGGUUAUAGGUCUGAUCCCUCUGUAUGGGGCAGCUGCA